UACGGGUUGUAUUACAAUAUUCAAACAGCAGCCACAGAGCACCUAAGCUAAGUAACAAACAAACUAAACGAGUCAGUCUGGCAAACCAGCGUUGUUUGUCCGUUCGCCGGUAGUACAUCGUUCGUUGAAAAUAUACCGUUGUCGUUUUGUAUGUUUGUUUUUGCGAUGUAUAAUACAAUUUAUAAAGUAUUAGUUGGUAAAAUAUACACGAAAAAGUACUCAACUUGUGUCAGUGUUUUAUGGUGAUCAGUGUUUAAAACUUCUGUGUUGUAUAUUCCAAGACGGUUAGUACAAAACUGUGCGAUUAUUGGCUAUACGGUCUGUUUUUUAGUGGAAAUUAGAAAGUUUUGCAACAUUCUCUCCUACAAUAUUAUUGUGAUAGUGAAUCGUCGUUUCCCACCUGUCAUAUUUCAACAGAUUUUCCGGCGAUAAAACGUGAAGCUAUAAUCAACGACAUAAAAUCAUCAUAAGUUUACAUCAAAUUUAUAAAAUAUAAACAAAGAUAAAAAUUUAAUCGAAAAAAAAAAAAAAAAUUAAAAUUAGCCACAUGUAUUUCCAAGUGUAAUAUGUGAAAAUAAAAUGUUUUAUGACAAUGAUGGAUAA